rnacentral:lncRNA from 1 species
CAAACUCCCUCGAACCUACCAAAUACGACACAAGUUUCAUAAAUUGUUGUACAACCAAUCCAAACCCAAAUUUAAUAGACCAAGUCCAACAUAGAAUUUUUGUUGUAUACUAACCAUGAUGCUAUAAUUUUACCUAGCAUCACUCCUUCAUUUAUGCAGAUUCCUGAACAAACAAUCUCAAAUGAGGAUGUAAGGAUAAUGCUUUGUGAAAAUAAGCUUAAAGGCCUAACAGAAUUCUUACCAAAGGAUUCCAAAAUUGAGAGGUGCAAUGACAAGUUGAUAAAUAAGUUGGAUUUGAGGAUGGAUCCUUUUCAAGAAAG